UGGGGAAUAUUGCACAAUGGAGGGAACUCUGAUGCAGCGACGCCGCGUGAGUGAUGAAGGAAUUCGUUUCGUAAAACUCUGUUCUAUGGGAAGAAAAGGACUGUACCAUAGGAGAAAGCUCCGGCUAAAUACGUGCCAGCAGCCGCGGUAAUACGUAUCGAGCGAGCGUUGUCCGGAAUUAUUGGGCGUAAAGGGUGCGCAGGCGGCGUUACAAGUUGGAUGUGAAAUAUUGUGGCUCAACCACAAACGUGCAUCCAAAACUGCAAAGCUUGAGUUAAGGAGGGGUAAGUGGAAUUCCUGGUGUAGCGGUGGAAUGCGUAGAUAUCAGGAGAAAUACCGGUGGCGAAGGCGACUUACUGGACUUAAACUGACGCUCAGGCACGAAAGCGUGGGGAGCAAACAGG
rnacentral:rRNA from 1 species